CCUGCUCCUCUCCCGCCACCUCGUCAAUGCUUCCCUUUACCCCUAUGUUGUCUCCUUUUCUUCUAACAACAAAAAGAGAUUAAGGUUUUAUUCCAUUUUGAAGGAAAUGCCUCCUCAAGUUCUUGUAAGUACCAUUUCUGAUACUGUAUACGAACAAGAAGAGCUUCUUACAUAUCUAUUUUUAAAAGAUAAGAAAUAACUUAUUGUUGUAGAUAUUUUUGUUCAAUACUUUCUUUCCCCUGUAUUCAUACUCAGUCCUAUUCCUCUCAACUGUUUCACAAGAUGUUGAAGACAUCAGGUGUCCAAGAAUAGUCAUCUCCAGUUGGUCCUUUGUCAGUUCAUACAAAUCCCAGUGUACUCUCAUCAGAUCAUCCUUCUCAAACUCUGUCUCAUCCAGCUCUAGAUCCUCUGGCUCCACAACUAUGGUGUUGCUAGUUGCAUGAGUGAUGAGUGGUUCUUCAUCAUCAUACUCCUCUUCCUGCUGCUCCAGGUGCUGUGAAAGCUCCUGCUGUGAUGUGAAGUGCAGCUGCUCCGGGGUUGUUACCAAGAGCCCAUCACAUUCAUCUUCACCAUCACCGCUUUCACAGUCCGAAUAUCCUAUAGCAUAAUAAUAUAUAGUUGCUUUAUUUAUUUUGCUGUUAUGUAUAUCAGUUGUUUUUGACUUUGUAUAAACAAGUAAAACAAUAUUUAUUACUAAUAA